ACCAACUACUGAUUCCUUGUUAGAGAAGGCCAAACGAAUAUCUGUAACAAAUAUACUUAUACUAUCCAUAGUACUUCUACCUUUUCUAAAUCCGAACUGACUAUCAGGUAGUAAGCCUCUGCUUUCAAUAUACCACUCUAGGCGGUUUUUAACUAAAUGUUCAGCAAUUUUUGCUAACACAGAUGAUAACGCUAUAGGACGAUAGGAGGAAACAUAAGAUGGAUUUUUAUUGGGUUUUAGUAUUGGCAACACUAACUGAUGUUUCCAUGACAAUGGCAUUUUCCCUGUAGUAAUAAUUAAAUUAAUAAGAGCUAAAUAAUAGGAAAGAGCACCGUCUCCUAGAUUAGCAAGGAAUGAAUAUGUUAUGCCAUCAUUUCCAGGAGCAGUAUCUUUGACAUUUGUUAAAAUACCUUUAAGUUCAGGGAGAGUAAAAAGGAACACUUUAUCAGCUGCUUCAUUUAAUAAUGUGCAUAAAGCAUCUGCACAUUCACACGGAUCAUUUAUUGAAACAUUUGGAAGAGAGGAUAUACUGUUUUCAACAAUUGAUUUAAAAUUACCCCAAUCUCCAUCAUUCAACCUAUAUUUAAUUCUUGGACCUUGUUGAGGGAUUUUUAAAUAUUUCUGAGGAAACUUAAUUAAAAUUGGGAAGUGAUCACUACCAAAGGUGGAAUCCAUAGUAUUCCAGGACAAAGUGGAAGCUAAAUUUGGAGUGCAAAUGGAUAAAUCAAUAGCGCUUAAGAUUCCAUCAGGACCAGUGCGAUGUGUUGGAUUACCAGUAUUCAGGAUGCAAAGAUUAUGAGUAUCUAAAAGUUCCAAAACAGCUUCUCCAUUGGAGUUAGAGAUGGAACUGCCCCAUGAUCUAUGAUGUGAAUUGAAGUCCCCUAGCAAUAUAAAUGGCCGAGGUAAAGAAGAAAGCAUAUUAUUAAUUUCAAUGAAAACGAGAGAAGAAGGAUGAGGAAUGUAGAUGGAAACAAAACAUAUAUUGUUAAUAAUGACAGCUAUAAUUGAAUAAUUAUCACUGUGUGGAGGAAGACUUAAAGGAGUGUAUGUCUGGGAUUUUUCUAUAAGUAUGGCUACACCACCAUACCCAUCUGCUCUGUCUUCUCUAAGACAUAUAUAAUUGGGUAUACGAAACAUAGAAUUUGGUUUAAGCCAUGUCUCAGUGAGAGCUAUCACAAAGGGUUCAUAUUUAUUAACAAUGUAAGCUAAGUCACUUUUUUUGCUGAUUACACUGCGGCAAUUCCAUUGGACCAAUUGAUCCAUUAUUAUGUGUGUUAAUGAGAGAGUUUAAUAAUUCAGGGGCAACGUUGGACGGUUCAUCACAAAGAGGUUUAUUAAUCAAUAUAUCAGCAAAAGAUCUGUUAACUGAUGGAAAAUUUUUUGCAGCUUCGGCAUAAGAAAUACAAUUCUCAGCCAUGAACAGCUUAAUAUCUUUUUGUCUGUUAAAUUCUGGGCAACAUUUAUUAAUAGCAAAAUGAUUACCAGAACACAAGCAACAUGAGCCGCAAUCCUCUUCCACAUUGCAAGAAUCUCCUGUGUGUCCUUGACCACAUUUAAAACAUCGAGGUUUUGAUCUACAUUGUACUUUCGUGUGGCCAAAGCGACAGCAUGCAAAGCAUUGGACAGUUGGGUAAACAUAUAACUCAACAGGAAGAGCAUUGUAGCACAUAAAUAUAUGUUUAGGUAACACUUGUCCAUCAAACGUCAUUACAAUUGUUUGGGAUGGUUUCCAUGUUGGAGAACCUUCCACUAAAACUUUAUAAUUUAACCGUCUCAUUUUUAUAAUUUUACCACAUCCUAUAGGCACUGUAACAUUAUCUAAAACUUCUUCUGGUGACCAUUCUAUAGGGACUCCCCGCACCAGUCCCAUUCGUGUAAUAUUAAAUGUGGGAAUAAAGGCUUUAAGAUUUUGUGAAGAUAGA
rnacentral:lncRNA from 1 species